UAGUCCUAGCCCUAAACGAUGAGCACUUGGCUGUGGUCGUAUCAACUCGAUCACAGCCGUAGCGAAAGUGGUAAGUGCUCCGCCUGGGGAGUACGGUCACAAGGCUGAAACUCAAAGGAAUUGACGGGGGCUCACACAACCGGUGGAGGAUGUUGCUUAAUUCGAAGCAACGCGAAGAACCUUACCUAGCCUUGACAUGUACGUGGUACGGACCUGAAAGGUAAAGGACCCUAGCUCUGCUAGGGAGCGUACACAGGUGUUGCAUGGCUGUCGUCAGCUCGUGUCGUGAGAUGUUGGGUUAAGUCCCGUAACGAGCGAAACCCUUGCCUUUAGUUGCCAGCGGAUUAUGCCGGGGACUCUAGAGGGACUGCCGGCGUCAAGCCGGAGGAAGGUGGGGGACGACGUCAAGGUCAUCAUGGGCCCUUAUGGCUAGGGGCUGCAAACGUCCUACAAUGGGGCGGUACAAAGGGG
rnacentral:rRNA from 1 species